AUUAAAAUAUUUUGGACAAUGAUAUAAUAAAUGUUCCAUCGUUUGUAUGGUGUUUGAAUCGCAGGGACAAAAAGGGUCUUGUGUUAUACGAAAUCUGUGAUGUAUAAUCUGGAAAUAUCUGCUUGGUGUAUUUACAAUUAUCUACUUCAUUAUACAGAUUAGUAAUUUCUUUAGUAA